rnacentral:lncRNA from 7 species
AUCUUGUUUGAGGUCCUUAUGUUUCUACAGUCUUCUAGAGAUAAGUGGAUUUGUUUAUUUAUUUAUUUAAUUACUUCUGAGUCUCUGGUUGCUACAUUUGAGCUUAUCCUGAGUUGCUUAAGUCUAGGAUGUUGUUGUUCUGUUGUCAUGGCACUUUACCGUUGUGUUACAAAGAUAAAAACACAUUUUAGUUCUCUUUAUUUUCUGGUAUCUCUCAAAAGUCUUUUUGUAGUGUGUGUUUAUCACAAGUAUUAAGACUGUUUUUUUUUUUUACUUAUGCAUUUUGAGAGAACCUGCACAGCAUAAUUUAGUAUGUAUCUAUGUGAUUUGCUGUAAAGUCAAAUCCUAGGAAUUUGUUUUAAUAAAACAAAUCAUAGUAACAUUAUUGUUCCACUAGUCAAGUAUAUUAAAUGUGGGUUCUUUCUAUAGAUGAGAGAAUUAAGAUCGCAAGUACUAUCAGUAUGUUUAUGGAGCAGCACAAUUAUUUAUAUAGAGUAAAAUAAUUUUAUAACUUGUAACACUUUCUAAAAGAAAUACAGGAAACUGGGGUAAUGUGUUUAGAACUUCUCAGAAGUAUGCAUUUAAAAAUCUGUUAAAAAAAAUUUGAAGUUAUAUAAAGAAAACUUAUUGUAACUUACUUAGUGUACUUCAGUACCUAUUUCUCCCAGUUUCUAUUUAAUGCAUCAGGUGUGAUGACUCAAGAGUUCUCAAAGCAGCAGCUCCAUGUUGGGUAUUUUAGACAUAAUAAUCUACACAACUUUCCUAAGUGGAACCUGACCUUCUCUCAAGAGUAGACAGUAGUUGUUCUACAGUGUGCUUGAAAAUGAUUGAAAUUGUUUUAAGAAUCUUUUUUUUUUUUUUGCUGAAUUUCUCUAUUUAAAUGCUAUGAACAAGUAAGUGUCUGGCUUUAGAUUAAUGAGUUAUUAAAUACAUUUUUGUAUCAAGUAACAGUAAUCUUGCUAGCAAAAUAGAUCUUGCAUAGCCACAGAACUUCUCAAUUUCUAUCAUACUGUAAUUACAAGUUGCACUUCUAAUGACUUCAGUCAAUUGGAAUGAGAAAGAAAUGUCAUGUCCAGGGCUCUUGUGUAGAGUUACAGCUGUCAAGAAUCUAACCUGGAGAGCAGAGAAUAGAAGGGGUUGUGUUUCAAAGGACCAUGGAAUCAUUAGAAUUCUUGGAGUUGGAAGGGAUCUUUAAAGGUCGUCUUGUCCAACUCUCCUCCACAAUGAACAUGGACACCACAGCUAGAUCAGGUUGCCCAAGGCCUGAUCUGGUCUUACCUUCGAAGUCUCCAGGGACAGAGCAUUCACAGCAUGUCUGGGUAACCUGUCUCAGUGCCUCACCACCAUCACUGUAAAAGACCUUUCUUAUAUCCAACUACUGAAAUCUACCCCCUUUACUCCUGAAAAAAUUUACCCUUAUUUUAUCAGAACGGUUUCCAAUUUAAAGAAAAAUUUCUUGGCUCUGCUCCUAUAUAGCUCAUUUCUUUGUAAUUUCAAAGCCUUAAGUAUUAAUCAUAUCUCUAUUUGGUUGGAGUUACACAACUAAUUUCUGAAAUCUGAGCAGAGAUCACAUGUGUAUCCAGAAGGAAAUGUCUGCAUUAGGUAUUGUUUUGCUCAGAAAUGGAGCUAUUCCGUCUCUGCUCUGCAGCUACCUUUGUUUUGAAAUUCAGGGUUAAAAACCCACGCUGAACAAUGGAGGAAAAAGAAACCCACAAUCUGAUGCAUAAGAAACUGUGAAAUAAAGGCAUUUGUUAUAAAGUUGUUAUAAAG